rnacentral:rRNA from 1 species
GAUGAACGCUGGCGGCGUGCCUAAUACAUGCAAGUCGAGCGAACGGACGAGAAGCUUGCUCCUCUGAUGUUAGCGGCGGACGGGUGAGUAACACGUGGAUAACCUACCUAUAAUACUGGGAUAACUUCGGGAAACCGGAGCUAAUACCGGAUCAUAUUUUGAACCGCAUGGUUCAAAAGUGAAAGACGGUUUUGCUGUCACUUAUAGAUGGAUCCGCGCUGCAUUAGCUAGUUGGUAAGGUAACGGCUUACCAAGGCAACGAUGCGUAGCCGACCUGAGAGGGUGAUCAGCCACACUGGAACUGAGACACGGUCCAGACUCCUACGGGAGGCAGCAGUAGGGAAUCUUCCACAAUGGGCGAAAGCCUGACGGAGCAACGCCGCGUGAGUGAUGAAGGUCUUCGGAUCGUAAAACUCUGUUAUUAGGGAAGAACAGAUGUGGAAGUAACUGUGCACGUCUUGACGGUACCUAAUCAGAAAGCCACGGCUAACUACGUG